UACGUAGGCAGCAAGCGUUGUUCGGAAUUACUGGGCGUAAAGCGUAUGCAGGCGGACUUUUAAGUCGGGGGUGAAAUCCCGAGGCUCAACCUCGGAACUGCCUUCGAUACUGGAAGUCUUGAGUCCGGGAGAGGUGAGUGGAACUCCGAGUGUAGAGGUGAAAUCGUAGAUAUUCGGAAGAACACCAGUGGCGAAGGCGGCUCACUGGCCCGGUACUGACGCUGAGAUACGAAAGCGUGGGGAGCAAACAGG
rnacentral:rRNA from 1 species